rnacentral:rRNA from 1 species
GAGUCCCCAACGGGGACCCCCUUUCUUCCCAACGUCGCGAAGGAUUCGGCGCUGCUCGCUCGUCGGAGAAGCUCUCGUCGCGAGUUAGCGGUGUUCGAUCCCUCGAGACACAACCAAAACCCGGCGUGAAAUGCGCCAAGGAACAUAAAAGGGAGUGCCCCCGUUCGGCGCGGCUCGCGCUGCGCUCGGACGGGCGUCGUCUUCUUGAUGAGUUUAUAAUGACUCUCGGCAACGGAUAUCUCGGCUCUUACAUCGAUGAAGAACGUAGCAAAAUGCGAUACUUGGUGUGAAUUGCAGAAUCCCGUGAACCAUCGAGUCUUUGAACGCAAGUUGCGCCCGAAUCCUUUUGGUUGAGGGCACGUCUGCCUGGGUGUCACGU